CCUACGGGAGGCAGCAGUGGGGAAUAUUGGACAAUGGGGGGAACCCUGAUCCAGCGACGCCGCGUGAGUGAAGAAGUAUUUCGGUAUGUAAAGCUCUAUCAGCAGGGAAGAAAGAAAUGACGGUACCUGACUAAGAAGCCCCGGCUAACUACGUGCCAGCAGCCGCGGUAAGACGUAGGGGGCAAGCGUUAUCCGGAUUUACUGGGGGUAAAGGGAGCGUAGACGGCGAUGCAAGUCUGAAGUGAAAGGCGGGGGCGCAACCUCCGGACUGCUUUGGAAACUGUAUGGCUGGAGUGCAGGAGCGGUAAGUGGAAUUCCUAGUGUAGCGGUGAAAUGCGUAGAUAUUAGGAGGAACACCAGUGGCGAAGGCGGCUUACUGGACUGUAACUGACGUUGAGGCUCGAAAGCGUGGGGAGCAAACAGGAUUAGAUACCCGGGUAGUC
rnacentral:rRNA from 1 species